rnacentral:rRNA from 1 species
AGAUUGAACAUAAGAGUUUGAUCCUGGCUCAGAUUGAACGCUGGCGGCAUGCUUUACACAUGCAAGUCGGACGGCAGCACAGAGAAGCUUGCUUCUUGGGUGGCGAGUGGCGAACGGGUGAGUAAUAUAUCGGAACGUACCGAGUAAUGG